UAUUCGUGUAUUAUGUAUUGGUGCGCGACUGGUUCUUCUACUCACUUUUAUUUCAUCUUGUAUUUUUGAUUAUGGAGUUUUGUCAAGUAUAUUACACGACUCCAUUUAUACCAAGUUCGAUUCUCCUGCGCCUGACUUCCCUGCCACCUACACACACGACAUUACACAAAUAAUGGCCUCAAUGCGUGCGUGGCUGGUAGCCUUAUGUCUGCCUCACUGCUCACAGAUUGGAAUACACAACAGAAUGCAAUGCAACACAACAAGCCCCUGGGCUUUUUAAAAAGUGUAUCUUUAUUAAAAAUGUUUCUGACCCGCAAUGUAAUUGUUCUGAACCACAAGCCGACCCACGGGUUGAAAUAAUGUUUUCAUUCCACCCGCCAGCUGAUUAUUUUGUGGCUCACCUGUAGUGAACCGUGGGUAUCUGACCUGAUGCAAGACUCUACAUACCGGCUAGAUAGACUGCUGGAUUUCAUCUUCAAUGCGGUCAUCCACGAUCUGUAUGUGGAGGAGGUGUGUGUGUGAGUUCGCCAUUCCAGAACCCCUGUGUGCCCAGUACGAGAGACCUGACAAGGAGGAAGCCAUCGCUGGAUUUGUGUCCUCCUUCAGCAAUCUAGGGUGAAAGUGAAGACUCUGGGCUCUAUAGGUUCUUGCACCAUAGUCACUGGAAGAGAUGACGUAUAGCGUGUUUGUGUUGGUGGCUACCUCUCCUCAGCCUCUGGUAUACACUCUGGUCAACAUACCGUGCAGCCUUCUCCUGCUAUAUAAGCUGCCAGUAUGUCAGUGGUCAGUUCUGGUCUACUCAAGGGGGUGGCUCUCCCAUAGACACCAAUGCGAUAGCAGUUGGGUCUGGUCUACUUAGCUCAUUUGACCUCCAUUGAAACAGAAAACAUUUGUAUGUGUCACUUCCUUUUCCAUCUCUGCUAGUAACACCAGAAGAGAACAACUGAGCCAAUGCUAAAGUAUCAGCAACAGCCAAGGGGGCACGGGGAGAUACGUUUCCCCCCAAAACAUUCAUACACCUAGCCUGGGUACCAGUCUGUUUAGCUAACAUUCCACUACUUGUACUCUGUGUCAUGUUUCAAUCAUGUUUUGCAAUGACACAGAGUUCAAGGAGUGGAAUGUUGGCUAAACAGACACCAUAUACAAAUCAACUGUAUAUUUGUAUAUAUGUCAUAACCCAGCCAUCACCAUGUCUUGAGACCUCUUAAGACAUGUCUUAGACACCAAUGAGACAUCCGUCUUAAGACAUUUUAUAAUUUAUUGUUUUCAUGUUUUAUUAGUUAUUAAUAUUACUUAUUCACUCUAGAACUCUCAUGCACAUUCAUAGCACAAAUUGUACUGCACACCAAAUCAAAGUAAGCAAGAUUUAUUGACCAAAUAACAAUUUUAGAAUGAUGCAACAAAAUAACUUGUGGUAAAGGCGGUAUAGAGCUCCAAACAACGCUUUUACAGCCAGAUAGUAAUCGCUUGUUUUGGGAUCUCAGAGCUGCUCCUCCUGAAUCUUUUCGGAAAUAAAAUGCCAUUAGGUAUCCUAUCAGAAAAUAACAAUAUCACAUUUACCAUGCUAUUUUCUUGUACUUAUAAAUAGCUCACCUGAAGCAGAAAGCCCUAUCGUCCGUGAGGGCUAAAUGUUUGACACCAGGUAAGACCCCAGCUUUAUUGUAUGUCCAGUCUGAAAAUAGAACGAGCCUAUGUGAUUCAAAGACAGCUGAUUAGAGAAAGUGACCUUUCUGUGAUUGCAUGUAGAAUCACAGACAUUACAUUAAACACACUUUACUGCAUAUUUACUUUCAAUUAUUGCAGUAUAAUUAAAUAAAUAAUUAAACAGCAUGUCUGACAGCCUUAAUGUCACAUUAUUUUGCAUGUCUUUAAAACAUGGCAUUAGUGUCUUGAGACAUGUCUUGAAGACACACAUAAAAUGUCUCAAGACAUAGUGUUGAGUGUCUUGAGACGUCUCAAUUGCAUGUCUCAAGACCCCACCAAUACACAUUUCUGAAUGUUCUACUGCAUCAUGGAAAACACUAGAUCCAAAAAUAGCUCUGUUUGUUCGGUUAAGGACAACAACAAAAAUAACUUACAUAUUUAUUUACGUACUGUAUGUGCACAAUCAUACCCAGCCAUCAUCUUUGUCUUGAGAAAAUAACUUGAGGCAUAUUAUUUCUAAACAAAUAUUAAUCAAGUAGGUGGGGAUGUCGUGGAACUUGUUGCACCUUCUGGUAACCUGUGGGGAAAAGUAUACAUUUAAUAGGCCACUCAGUUUAUAAUGACAUCUAUUUCACAUGAAAUCAAUAAUAGUGUAUAAUGCAUACAAACGCACAUUAGGGACUUCCAUACAGCAAAGGUUUUCUGCAGCAGUGCCGGUGGGCUAGUUUGGCAGUGCCAGCGACCACUGCAGAGUUUUCUGAGCAAAAAAACCUUUUUAAAUUAUUUUUAUUUUCAUUGUUGGACAUAAAAGACUGUAAAAA